GUUGCAGGUUGCAAUCGCAGCUGUUUCCGAGACUCUUGCCUGGACACGAAGAAAGGUAGCUGCAUCUGGUCUCGCCGCUUCGCUGCUGUUCGUCUGUGCCCGAGAGAGACCGACCGGGCGCUACCUACUCCUCGUCUCCGAUGCCUCUCCUCCUGCUUCAAGUUGCGGCAGGAACAGGGGAUAGAAUACUGCAAUUUGAUGGAUAGAGACCUUCCAUUUGUCGGCGUCGCCACACCACUGAACCGUGAAGUCCCACCGGCGUGAUGUCCAUCGCGUGCUGCUUGCCGGUGGUGGAGUGCGUGUACUGCCUGGCCUGCACGCGGUGGGUGUGGCAGCGCUGCCUCCACACCACCGGCUACGACAGCGAGACCUGGGGCCUCGCCUCCUCCGGCGAGUUCGAGCCGGUGCCGCGGCUAUGCCGGUUCAUCCUGGCGGUCUACGAGGACGACCUGGAGACCCCGCAGUGGGCGCCCCCGGGCGGCUACGGCAUCGAGCCCCGGUGGGUGGUGCGGCGGAGGACGCCCGAGCACGCGCAGGGGCGCGCCCCGACGUACCUGCUGUACGUCGAUCACCGGCACGCGGACGUCGUGCUCGCCGUCCGCGGCAUGGACAUGGCCAAGGAGAGCGACUACGCCGUGCUGCUGGACAACAGGAUCGGCCAGGCGGGCUUCGACGGCGGCUACGUGCACAACGGCCUGCUCAAGGCCGCCGAGUGGGUGCUCGACGCCGAGUGCGACGCGCUGAGGGACCUCCUGGCCACGAACCCCGGCUACACGCUCACGUUCGCCGGGCAUUCCCUCGGCUCCGGCGUCGCGGCCAUGCUGGCUCUGCUGGCGGUGCGCGACAGGGAGAGGCUGGGCGGCGUGGAGCGGAGGAGGAUACGGUGCUUCGCCAUGGCGCCUCCCAGGUGCAUGUCGCUCAAUCUGGCAGUCCGUUAUGCCGACGUCAUUAACUCGGUUAUUCUUCAGGAUGAUUUUCUGCCUCGCACGGACAUUCCUCUGGAAGACAUUAUCAAGUCACUUUUCUGCUUGCCAUGCCUUCUCUGUGGAAAUUGCCUUAUAGCUACAUGCAUACCUGAAAGUGUGAUGCUAAGAGAUCCAAGGCGCCUCUACGCACCAGGCCGUCUUUACCACAUUGUUGAGAGGAAACCUUUCAGCACAAUGGCUCGCGGCGAACAUCAAGACGAUGAUGGUGACUUCAUGGAGUUACCGCAACAGAAUCGCGCAACUGGUCGUACAAAAGAUGGCGAUGAGAAGAAGAAACGUUAUCGCAAUAGGGUUUCACAAGAACGCCUGACUAUAUUGACCGAGGGAUUUACUGACGAGCAGAAGGGAGCUGCUAGUGAGAUGGGGAUGCAUGCUCUGAUGGAUGUUCGGUGCAAGAACCUAGUGAACCCUAUAUGCGACUGGCUCGGUGAGAUUUAUGAUCCUGCCUCCAGGAAAUUUGUGAUUCCGGGACGUGGAAGACUGCCUUUGGACAAGGAAUCCGUGUUCUGCACUUUGGGUGUGCCCCAGGGAGAAAUCAAAGUCCCGUACGAGGUGAAGAAUCCUUGUUCGCCCGUUUGUUUCCUGGGAUGGCAUCCAUGCCGAAUACGACUGUGCUGGCAACUUCGCUGGAGGGCAUGAAAACCCAUGGCGAGGUUUUUAAGAUGAAGCUCCUCAUGUACCUGAUCUCAGCUGUUUUUGCGCCUACCAGAUCUCUUCGCCCAAGCAACAAGUGCUUCCCUAUCCUGGCAAAGCUGAAAGACGUGAAGAACAUAAAUUGGUGUAAAUUCAUCGCGGAUUUCCUGCAUGAUGCAUUCUCAGACAAGAUGUACCAGAAGGGCUGUCGCUUGCACUUAAUGCUCAUGUACGUUGAUCGUCUUGAUCUGUCCACCGUCGACUUUACUAGGAUAGGAGGCCCGCUGCCUCCACAUAAGUUUGUUGUCUCUGCGUGGACGUACGAUGCUGUCAAGGCUGUGCUUGCCGCAGACAGGGUAACUGAUACGAAAUAUGGGAAACUGUAGCUGAUGGCCAAGCAUGCUAUAGACUACAACGUGUUUGGUGUGCCUCAAAACUUUGGCAAGUGGAUGGACGUGCACUCAGCUCCGUCUUGUCCUGCUGAGGCGAGGGCACCUGUUGAGCAUCUAGUUGGGUAGUUUGCUUCCGGCUUGACCAGCUUGCUCGGGAAGUUGGUUGAGGGUUGGACGAUACUUAAUGGCUCUGACAGUGACGCGGUUGCGAGGCAGUUCACACCAUUUGUUGCAGAACAGACACAUCGACCAACUGGUUGUCAUGGCCGGUAUGACUACAACAGCCCCCAGGAGCUUCCUGACACACAAGAUGAACUAGAUGGAGAUGUUGGUCUCGACAAGGACGAUGAUGAUGACAUGGAGAAUGUGUAACAUGAAACUCGAUGAACAUGUUGAAGUACGUGCAGGUGGUAAGAAGGACAAGGCUGCACCAGAUGUCCCCCCACCGGAGAAAGUCAUUGAACAGACAGUUGCGAGAGACAAGGGGGUGUCGCCCUCAAAGAGGGGCAGGGCUCCAGAGGAUGUUGGGCAGGGCUCUGUUGGCAAGAGGUCUAGGACCGAUCCCUUAGUUGCUAGGAGGAGUGAGGCGACAGCUGGUGGACGAGCAGUUAUGAAGAAACAAGCACCAACGCCAACCCGUGUUUCUGCCCGAUUGAACAAGGGUGCCCCCAUUGCUGGUGACACCCCUUCCACUAGGUUGUCUCCUCGUACGUCGACGUCCAACACCGGGGAUCCUGUCGUGUUGGUAGACUUGAGGAAGACAGUCAAGAAGGUGAAGAAGACUACUACACGCGUGAGCAAGUAGAACACUAGAGACCCUCUCGAACACAUUCAUUCAAAGCUGUCGACAGGUGGCAACUCAGAUGUUCAUGAGGCGCCAGUCGACAAAACUGCUGCUGCACCAUCCACUAUUCCCACUAGCUCUGAUGCAAGCGGCCGACCAUCUUCGCCAGUUGCAGAUGUGCAGGCUACAACAACAGGCAUCCGUACAUCUGGGAGUGAUGAGUCAGUAUCUGCCAGGACUGCUGAGAUAUUGCCCACUCUGCUGGCAAUGAAGGAUGCUGCUGUGACCCAUGCCACCCGAUCAGCAAGUGUUGAAGUGCACGCUCCCGAUAUCAACCUAAGCAAGGAAGAUUCCCGCUCAUCUGAUACAGAUUCCAAGCGUGUGGCUGGUGGCACUUCUGCGUCCAUGGAAGAAGGGGUUGCGGCGACAAUUCAGAAUGAGAUGCCAUCCACACAUGAGAAUCUUGGCACAACAGCUCCAGCUUCUGGUGGUCCAGAGGUUGCUACGGCGACCAUUACGCGAGUUGGUCUUCCACCUAGGCGGCGUAGCCCCCGCAAGCAAUCUGCAGACAUACCCAAUGCACCAGCUGUAGCUAGGAACAGCAGAGAUGACGCUGGUUAUGUGCUUGCGUCCACACUGUUCCCACCACCUGCCAAAAGCAAUGUUAUGGAGAAAACAACAGUCCGGAGUGCAACUGACGCGGGUGUCAAGCCGGGCACGACUGACGGAGGUGAACGUCCGGAGUAGACUGUGUCUUUACCCGCCAUGGAGAACCCCAGCUUAAAUCUGCACACUUCUAAGCUCCCAGUCAACAUUGGUGUCCCAUAUAGCCCAAACAAGAAGAUUGGCAAGAAAGUUGCGGUUGAUACCGCUGGCAGCACGCCCCGCCCUACUAAUAAGCCUGAUGAUACUGCAGCAGAUGAGGCAGAAAUGUUUGUUGAUCUGUCAUCCAUGGAUUCUGUGGAGCAACUUCCUCGCGAUCCGGCUGGUAGGGAGGAGAGGCACCCAAUGGCCUUCACCCCACCGAGCUGUAGCCUUGGCAUCGAUCGCAGUCAAGAUGAACCAGUGGUGCAAGAUCCUAUGUCAGUUGCCUUUGCUUUCCCGGCAGGCAUGGCCCCAAUGAUGGCGCAACCAAUGGCUGAUGGCAGGAAGCUAGGCUGUGAAGUUUGUAGAGCUGAUAGUGCAAGUUUCUCACUGGUGAUGGCAAAUCUCAUCUGAUGCACAUGGCAACUGGAGUUGCUGCACCAUGUCACCUACAGUUUGUUGCCAUGUUGCAAUUCCAGUCACGAAGCACAUGGCAACUGGAGUCGCUGCAACAUGGAAACUACAGUUCAACCCACGUGGCAACUAUAGUUGUUGCCACAUGGCAACUACAGUGCACUACACCUGGCAACUGGAGUUGCCUCCACAUGGCAACUCCCUAUUUUUGCACCUACAUUUCAUAUUCUGCACCCUUUCUUUCACAAUAAACUUGUUUUGUUUCCAGGUAUCCUAACCCACUGUUUGAUCCUUGCAGCCACCCCUGAGGAGAUUACACCGUCACUUGAUGAAGCUUACCGCAGGAUUGAGGAGGCAGCAUUGCAGAGGAGGUCCUUACGAGGUCAGGGGCAAUCAAGUUCUAACGUGCCUGCUGAGUCGGUAUCUGAGGAUACCGUUAGAAGUUCCACCCCUGGUUCUGUGAGGCAGCAUAGGGUAGUUCACGCACCGCCCGCGGAUGAUUAUGAGCCCGAAGUCAAGGCCACAAAGGAGCAGAACCAGAUGUACGAUAUUGUCAACCGUUUUGGAAAUGCGAGGUCCAACAGCAAGCACAUGAAGGAGCUGAAAGCAACCAAGAUUAUAUGAUGCGACGUACGUUGACCCUGGGUGAUCUUGCCGAGUCUGUGAGGCCACUUGGUAAAAUGUCGAAGAAUGUAGUUGCGUGUGGGAUUGACUUCAUCAACAGGCAUAUGGAUAUUUGUCCCGACAAAACAAUCAUGCAGUACAGUGUGACCUGCAAAAUAUGGGAUGGUGACUUCCACCAUAAAAUCCCGAGGAAGCAUUUUGCUGCGCAUGGUGAAUUCAAGCUCACAAUGAAGAAAUGUGUACUGUUCCCCAUGUUCCAGGAGCUUGCACCACACGACCCACAUGACAAGUGUGGUCACCACUAUGCGAUUUGCCUUGCCCUGAAGAACCAACGAUUUGAGGUGCUAGAUUCAAUGCGUUGAGAAGCUGAUGCAGACCUUACUACGCAUGCUGAACUCUUCAUCAACAACCUCAAAGAGACAUGGAACCGUCACUACGAAAACUCAAGGGUCUAGAUCGGUCAUUUCCCAAUCGAGUACGUCGCGACUACGAAGCAAGGAAACCGGCAUGACUGUGGCUUUCACAUGUUGGAAUACCUUGUAAAGUGGGAAGGUCGACAGGUCCCUAUCGUCACAGCUGCAAUGGUCGUCGAGCUCCGCAAAAUAUACACAUGGAACCGGUUGAUGAAUGAAGAUUUCAACACGCGGGCCAACGCAUGAGAGUUCAUAGAGGAAGCUGUCAAGAAAGCCAACAAGAAGUACAAGUGAUCACGUGGUGCUCCAUACCACACGCCUACCUUACAUUCUGUGGCUGAGGAAUGUAAGGUAUCAACUUGUUCUUUUAAAACUAUGUCCGUGUACUAUGUGAAGGAAAUAUGCCCUAAAGGCAAUAAUAAAGUUAUUAUUUAUUUCCUCAUAU